CUUCUGCUGUUGCUGCUGUUGCUGCUGGCAGCGACUACAACAGCUGUUGCUUUUGUUUUCAAUGGCGCUGCUGCUGAUGUCGCUGCCGCAGCGCUUAGUUUGUUGUAAGUAGUAUACUAGCAGAACAGAACAGCAGCAACAGCAACAACAACAAAUA
rnacentral:sRNA from 1 species